GGGGGGUUGGCCGGAUCCUGGGCUGUGUCCCGGCGCCCUUUGCUCCGGGGCCUCCGUGUUGGAUUCACGCUACCAGCCGCGCAGCCCCCU
rnacentral:pre_miRNA from 1 species